CAUGUGGCGGGGGCCGCCGUCGGGAGGGGCUCGUGGGAGACCCGACUUCCUCGUGUAAGGGCUGAGGAUCUCCAGUACAAUGUUGAAUAGAAGCGGUGAUGGGGGCAUCCUGAUCUUGUUCCUGAUUUUAAAGGGAAUGCUUUCAAAGUUUCACAAGAUAGAGACAGCCAGCGAGAGAGGGAACACAAGCAGGGGGAGUGGGAGAGGAAGAAGCAGGCUCACAGCAGAGGAGCCUGAUGUGGGGCUUCGAUCCCACAACGCCGGGAUCACGCCCUGAGCCGAAGGCAGACGCUUAACCGCUGUGCCACCCAGGCGCCCCUGUGGGAUACUUCUUAACCACUGAUUCAAUUACUUUGCUUAUAGGAUUGUUCAUAUUUCAAUUUUCAAGCCAGUUUUGGUAGGUUAUACAUUUAUAGGAAGUUGUCUGUUUCGUUCAUGUUCUUGAAUUUAUGGUAUUAAGUUGUUAAUCUCUAAUUUUGUAGUACCUGUAGUUUAUGUCCCUUUUAUCUUUUUUCUUUUAAUGCCUUUUUUUCUUGAUCAAUAGUAAAAACUAAAAGUUCGUCAAUUUUUAAAGACUUUUAAAAGAUCAGAUUUUUGAACUUUUUUUUUCUUAUGCUUUUCAGU